AUGCACGCCCCUUGGGACAGAGCGUCCAACCCCAGCAGGGUCCGCCCGCGCGUCUCGCCGCCACCCCUCUGUAAGGAAUACAGGUGUCCCACGUGGCUCCCACCCCUGGGACGCCCCUCCGGUGGGCCUGCAGCGCCCCCUGGCCCGAGCCGCGCCCGCGCGGGCCAGCAGAGCCGCCCCGGUGUCCGAGGCCCGCCGUGCGCUCGUCCCGGGAAGUCGGAGCUCAGCGCUGUCUCCGCGCCGCAGGGCACGCGCAUCCCGGCCCCCGCUAGCGACCUCGGAAGGAGCGCCGGUUACUCCUUCGCGCUCCCAAGAGGAGUCCGCUCGGCCCCCAGCCGCCCCGGCCCGGAGGGCGGCGAGCGUGCGCCCCGCGGCGUUGCGGGCUUUGUUCGGCAUUGUGUGCGCUUUGUCGGGGCGCCGCCGCGAGGCGAGGCCCGCGCGCCCCCGGCAGUCGGCGUCUCGGGCAGAGCGCACCUGGCGCGCGCCGCCUUCCGGCUCCCCGCCGUCGGCCCGGGAGGGCUCGAGGGCCUCUCUCGGGAAGGGGCGCGGCGGGCCCGGGAACAGCCCUUCCCUUGCGUCCUCGGCACUGGAGCGCGGACCGCAGGAAAUGCAAGUCCCGAGUGCAGUGUUUUGUGGCGCCCUGGAGCAAACCUCGCUCACCUGCUGUCCCAAAUGUGGCCGGUGCCGCGUGGAAUGAGGAUUUGAAGACAACAAUCAGAUGAGAGGUUUGGAGGGCGGAGGGCAUCUCUCCAUGUGUGAGAACCCCAGAGGCCAGGAAGAAAGUGUGGGAUUAGCGUGAGUAAUGGAACAGAAAGGAAGAAAUGUGGUGAGCCAGGUGUCCUGUAAUGGAAAAGGCUUGACAAGGUCUACCUGGGAACAAAUCUGUUUCUGCCCCUGGGUUGCAGACUGCUCCUGACUACUUUGUACAAAAAUGCAGAAAGCUCUGGAAAUCUUCUCAUGUUAGGUACUCAAGUGUGGGAGUCGCUGGCAGGUUAUUACCUGGGUGGAAAACUGCAAAGGGCAGGAUUUCGAGUGGCAGAUUUUUCAUGAUCUUUCUGUUCCUCUAUCCUGAUCCCCAGGAUCAGGAACUGACAGGUUGAACAGAUUACUGGGAGGCCAGAAUGGAGUCCAGUGCAUUUAUUAGCUGUGUAACCUGGGGCCAAACACUUAACUUCUGUAUGCUUCAGUUUUGUCAUCUGGAAAGUGGGGAUAAUACACUCUCUGGCCGGCUGUGCGGAUUGGGAGAGAGAAGACCUUUGAGAUUGGAGUCGGGUGCUAGGCACGCAGUAAAAGCUCGCUAGAUGGUAGUAGCUGUUGAUUUUUACUGUGGAAUUUGUCCUUUUCAAAGAGUUUUCAGACGUAGGAUCGUAUUUAGAAUGUGGAAUUAGUAUUGGAAGAAAGUUUUGAUAAGUGAGGAGGGGGAAAUAAGCUGCACAUUUGAGAUGAUUGGGUGGGAAGAGAUGGUAAAGAGUGCUAUUAAUACUUUACCAGCAUCGAAAUAGCAUUAGUUUCACUUAUCUUGGUAUAAAAAAAAUACAGUGAGCACAAAGGUUUGUCUGGAAGCAUCCCUCUGGCCCAUCAGUGGUGGGCAUGAUAGUAUUUAGUUUGUACAGCAAGCGUGUAUUUCACCUACUGUGUGCCGGGCGCCCACAGCUGGGGCUCCAACAGAGACUAAGAUGCAGGCAUUUGCCACUGGCAGGCAAGAUAAACAUCUCAGCAGGCAGUUUCAGUGUGGGCCCUGACAAUAGACCUUGUGUUUCCGGGACAGGGGAGGGAGGUGCUGCUGAGGUCCCAGAGCCAGCCCCAUCUGAUCCUAACAUGUAUGAGGAGGCAUUGGACUUCUUGCAUCGAUUUGCGGGUUGCCAACAUAAGUUUUGUUCUAAUGAGCAGAAACUUAGGUGACUCAGGAAAACAUUCACCUGGGCAAGCAGAGGCACAUAGCAGAGCCAGGUGAAGGCACUUAGGUUUGUCUCUUAGUGGAGGGAGGAGCCUGUGUACUGAGUGCCUUGCUAUGCGGCAGGGACCUUCUGUACUUCCACCUUGUCCUCACGGCAGCCUGGGGAGGCUGCUGGCAUCCUGGUUUUAUAACAAAGUAACAGGUCUGAACCUUGGAGUCCUGCAUGUGCCCAAGGUCAGAAGCUGUGACGUCAGAAAAUCAUCCUGGACCCAAAGACUACACAGCAUUGAGAAGUCCUUUACCUCUGCCCUGCACGGCCCCUCGGCCCCAGGCCUCGCCCCUGCCUGGCCCCCAGGCCGCAGGUGGGGACUUGUCCUGCAUCCCUUGUGUAGACUAAGAGGAAAGAAAAUGUGUCCCUGGGGGAAAGGAAAGUGGGGAGUCGGCCUUGCUGGCACCCGCCCAGCUGGAAGCCAGCAGGAAGCCCAUCGGCCUCUCAGCUAGCCCACAUCCUCUCCGUCUACCUUUCUCCCUUUGAUUGUGUCUGGGAAGCCCCUGACUUCCUUGCUCUUGCAAUAUUGACUAGUUUUCACUGAGAUUAGGGGAAGCCGUGAGCCUCUUAGUUAUGUGAAACAAAAGGACACUCAGCUGGUUGGGACACUUGAUUCAGUUUGUUUCAGAAAUAUUUCAAAAUCCGACGAGCUGAGUAAGGUCUCACCAUCAUAGGUCUGUGAUGGAGGGGAGACCAUAAGGGGAUGUUUAAAACCAGAAGACACCUUAGCAGCAUCUGGUCCACCCUCCUCCUUUUGUAAGUGAGGAACCACAGCCUCUCAUGGGGUCACAUGGCAUCGGAUGAGAAGCGGGGCCCUGGACUCUGGUGCAGGCUCUCUGCCACCAUGGGGCAGGUGUGACCCCUGCCUGUCAGUAGGCACUUAUGGGUGUGCCAGCUCAAUGUAGAUGGAGUUCUGAGCAGUGGCUCUAGAAGCAGCAUGAUUAGAGGAAAUCUCAUUGAAUCAGGAGCUCGAGACCUGCGCUGUGGGACUGCCCAGGACCCCUCCCCUUCUGAGCCUCAGUGACCUCAUCCUUCAGCCACUGAGUUUCCUCUUUAAUUUCACACCAUAUUGUGAGCUCUUCUCCCCUAGCUCCUGCUCCCUGAGGGUGGGAAUGCAGGCUUAGGGGUAAGCACUGUCCCAUGUAAGCACCCCCACCCCCACUGUUUAUUCAUAUGUCCUGCAAUUCCAAGUAACUGGCAAUAGCACCUAUAUGAACAUGACUGGGCCAUUUUAAUCUUUUCCGCAAAUUAAGAAUCUACAUUUCCUGGGUGACUUUGAUUUUCAAGGCAGCUGUUGCUCUCAGCGUGCUCAGCACAUCCUCUGAAUUCGGAGUCUGAGUUCUGUUUGGUUCCUGCAGCUGGCAGGUGUGAUUUCAAUGCCUGGCAGAGGUGGUGGAGUGCGAGUUCCUCUAACAAGUAAGAGAAUUCAUUUUAGUGCAGGGUAAGUUUAAGGCACUUCGGUGAGCUGCUAAAGAUGGCCAGGAAGCUUCUGCUGUGUAUUUUGGAGCAGUGGCAUCCCCGGUGGAGGCGGGGAGGUCUGAAGCCCCAGGAUACAUAAAUGAAAGCUUGGUGCUCCUGCCUUGUGAUCCGUGUUCUGAGAUGCAGAAGGGUGGUGCUUAUCUAGGAUGUUAAAGGGACUUUCCCAGCCGUGUGCAUCAGGUUGGAGUGAGUUUCCUCGCUGCGGCCGCACCCUUGGGUACCCCACGCAGUGACUGACACUUCUCCUUCUGCCUUGCUCUAGAACCUGGGGUUCCCCUGGCGUCCUGCAGCUCUUCCCUUCCAUAUCUCUGCCCAGGAUUCUCUCCUGAAUGCGUGUCAGUGCUAUGUGUUUACUGGAAGGAAACUUUAGUAAGACCUCCAUGUGGCAUUGCUUUGUUCUUCCAAGUCUUUUCUUUUCUUUUUUUUUUUCCCCUUUUGUUUAUUUAUUUAUUUUUGAGGAAGAUUAGCCUUGAGCUAACUACUGCCAGUCCUCCUCUUUUCUCUGAGGAAGACUGGCCCUGAGCUAACAUUGUACCCAUCUUCCUCUACUUUAUAUGUGGGACGCCUACCACAGCAUGGCCUGCCAAGCGGUGCCAUGUCCACACCCAGGAUCCAAACCGGUGAACCCCGGGCCGCCAAGAAGUGGAACGUGCGAACUUAACUGCUGUGCCACCUGGCCGGCCCCUUCCAAGUCUUUUCUUAAUGGGCAAAUUCAAUGCAGAGAAACCGUAGGGUGAGAUCUUGAAUGUAUUGGAUCCCAAAGGGCAAAAAAUAGAAUUUCUAGAACCUAUUGUUAAGAUAUUUUUAGAUUUUUCCCUGCUAAAUUAUACUGGGGAGAAAGUCUGAAUUUCAUUCUGUAUGACCCCUUUCAGUUCUUGUGCUACAGGUACACUUGCUAAAACAUAAGACUGUUUGAAUUGUGUGUCAACUCUUUGUGAUUCAAAUGAUAAUAAUGGUAAUAAUGCAUUUCUUGGGCCUCACAGCUAAAAUUAGAAGUAAACCUCAAGUCUGUGCCCUUAUGGGAUCAGAGAUACAGUUUAUAGUUUCUUAUUAAAAGCUGUCACUUUCCACCCUAGUACCUCCCUCAAAAACUGAUAAAUAGGGGGCUGGCCCCGUGGCCGAGAGGUUAAGUUCACACUCUCUGCUUCAGUGGCCCAGGGUUCGCCGGUUUGGAUCCUGGGUGUGGACCUACGCACGGCUCAUCAAGCCUUGCUGUGGUGGCAUCCCACAUAGAAGAACUAGAAUGACCUACAACUAGGAUAUAAACUAUGUACUGGGGCUUUGGGGAGAAAAAAAAAAAGAGGAAGAAUGGCAACAGAUGUUAGCUCAGGGCCAAUCUUCCUCACCAAAAAGCAUGCCUUCAAGAAAAAAAAAAAAAACAGAAAAAAAAUCAAUAAAUAUCAGACCCCAUGGAACUGAAUUUUACCC
rnacentral:lncRNA from 1 species